rnacentral:rRNA from 1 species
UACGUAGGGUGCAAGCGUUGUCCGGAAUUAUUGGGCGUAAAGAGCUCGUAGGCGGUCUGUCGCGUCUGGUGUGAAAAUCCAGGGCUUAACCCUGGACCUGCAUCGGGCACGGGCAGACUAGAGUGCGGUAGGGGAGAUCGGAAUUCCUGGUGUAGCGGUGAAAUGCGCAGAUAUCAGGAGGAACACCGGUGGCGAAGGCGGAUCUCUGGGCCGUAACUGACGCUGAGGAGCGAAAGCAUGGGGAGCGAACAGG